AUGGCACUAGAUGCUGCGUCUCAUGUGCCCAGAAUUGAAGUUUAUCCUCCCCUUCAGCAUGCCACAGAACACCAGGAGUGAACUAGCAUGGGAACCACUGUUUCAGAUGAGCCUCCCAGGCCUCACCAACCUCAGACUCAGUGGAGUCCUGGACAAUGAGAUGGUAAGCAGUUCUCCUGUACCCUCAUCAACUCACAUAAGUGGAGACCCCGACAAGGAUGAUGUGAACAGAGACACCCAUGACCUGACCUUUUCAGCUAUUUGUGGAGGCAUUGAGGAGGUCUUGACCACCUCAGAAGUAUGGCGGCCCCUAAUCGAGUGCCACAGCUCUGAGGCACAGCCGAGUGUUACAGCUUGGUAUCACAACUAUUGCAGUUUGAAGACUCAAGAAUCCAACGAUCACUUGAAAAGGUGGAGAAAAACCUUUAUUAUGCCAGCAGACUCAGAGGAGUUUCUACUCUUGAUGACUGAGCACCCUACCAGAAUAAGCGCCUCCUUAUAUAGGGAUCUACAGGGUCUGUGGAGUCAUUGGUCACAGGGAGGAUGUGACCAGAGCCUUCCAGGUCAUGAGAGCCAAGGCUGUUUGUGGAGCCCUCUGAAACAGUGCUGUGAGCAGCCCACCCCUCAUCCUGAGCACCUCUGGCCCAUGGAAAACCUCUACAACAUGGCUAUGACCAGCACCACCCACCAUGCCAUCACCACAUCUCAGAAGGAUGGAGCCCUCCUCAACAUGAAUGUGAACAGAGCACCUGAGGUCCCUAAGAGCUCUGUGGUGCAUGGAAUCCUGUACACCUGGAAUGUGAGCAGAGCCUGUCCAUGUCCUAAAAGCUGCAGGGCUAUUUUGAGCCCUGGACAAUAUGGCCACAAGCAGCCCAACUAUAUGCUGACCACCUCAGGGAUUCUGAGUCUUCCAUUACAAGGAGGAAUUGACCCGAGCUUUGCAAGUCUGGACCAUCUUAGCCGGUGGUGGAGCCCUCUAUAUCAAGGAUAUGAGGACUGCUCCACUGGCAUGACCACAAUGGGUAUGUGGAUUCCUCAGUAG
rnacentral:lncRNA from 1 species